rnacentral:rRNA from 1 species
AUUCUUGGUCAUUUAGAGGAAGUAAAAGUCGUAACAAGGUCUCCGUUGGUGAACCAGCGGAGGGAUCAUUGCUGGAACGCGCCCCAGGCGCACCCAGAAACCCUUUGUGAACUUAUACCUUACUGUUGCCUCGGCGCAUGCUGGCCCCCCCUGGGGGGGCCCCUCUGGAGACGGAGGAGCAGGCACGCCGGCGGCCAAGUUAACUCUUGUUUUUACACUGAAACUCUGAGGAAAAAAAAAAAAAAUGAAUCAAAACUUUCAACAACGGAUCUCUUGGUUCUGGCAUCGAUGAAGAACGCAGCGAAAUGCGAUAAGUAAUGUGAAUUGCAGAAUUCAGUGAAUCAUCGAAUCUUUGAACGCACAUUGCGCCCUCUGGUAUUCCGGAGGGCAUGCCUGUUCGAGCGUCAUUUCAACCCUCAAGCCUGGCUUGGUGAUGGGGCACUGCCUUCCCCGGAAGGCAGGCCCUGAAAUUCAGUGGCGAGCUCGCCAGGACCCCGAGCGCAGUAGUUAAACCCUCGCUCUGGAAGGCCCUGGCGGUGCCCUGCCGUUAAACCCCCAACUCUUUUGAAAAUUUGACCUCGGAUCAGGUAGGAAUACCCGCUGAACUUAAGCAUAUCAAUAAGCGGAGGAAAU